rnacentral:rRNA from 1 species
UUUCUUUGCUGGCGACCGGCGCACGGGUGAGUAACACGUAUCCAACCUGCCCUUUACUCGGGGAUAGCCUUUCGAAAGAAAGAUUAAUACCCGAUAGCAUAAUGAUUCCGCAUGGUUUCAUUAUUAAAGGAUUCCGGUAAAGGAUGGGGAUGCGUUCCAUUAGGUUGUUGGUGAGGUAACGGCCCACCAAGCCUUCGAUGGAUAGGGGCUCUGAGAGGAAGGUCCCCCACAUUGGAACUGAGACACGGUCCAA